GACGUAGGAUGCAAGCGUUGUCCGGAAUUAUUGGGCGUAAAGAGUUCGUAGGCGGCAUAUCAAGUCUGGUGUUAAAGCCCGUGGCUCAACCACGGUUGGGCACUGGAUACUGAUAAGCUAGAGUGCAGAAGAGGCAAGGGGAAUUCCCAGUGUAGCGGUGAAAUGCGUAGAUAUUGGGAGGAACACCAGUGGCGUAAGCGCCUUGCUGGGCUGUUACUGACGCUGAGGAACGAAAGCCAGGGGAGCAAAUGGG
rnacentral:rRNA from 1 species